rnacentral:rRNA from 1 species
ACGAGCCUGACUGCGAGACUGACGGGUCGAGCAGAGACGAAAGUCGGAGUUAGUGAUCCGGUGGUAUGUGAGUGGAAAUGCCAUCGCUCAACGGAUAAAAGUUACCCUGGGGAUAACAGGCUGAUCUCCCCCAAGAGUCCACAUCGACGGGGAGGUUUGGCACCUCGAUGUCGGCUCAUCGCAUCCUGGGGCUGAAUUCGGUCCCAAGGGUUUGGCUGUUCGCCAAUUAAAGCGGUACGCGAGCUGGGUUCAGAACGUCGUGAGACAGUUCGGUCCCUAUCUGUCGUGGGCGCAGGAUAUUUGAAAGGCGCUGUCCCUAGUACGAGAGGACCGGGAUGGACGAACCUCUGGUGCACCAGUUGUCACGCCAGUGGCACAGCUGGGCAGCUAUGUUCGGAUCGGAUAAACGCUGAAAGCAUCUAAGCGUGAAGCCGGCCUUAAGAUAAGAUAUCCCACUGAGUCAAUCAGGUAAGACCCCUUGAAGACUACAAGGUUGAUAGGCACAAUGUGUAAGUGGAGUGAUCCAUUCAGCAAGCGUGUACUAAUAGGUCGAGGGCUUGACCCC